rnacentral:lncRNA from 1 species
GUCUCCGUCCGACUACAGGGCCCGUGAUUGAAUUUCGGCAAUGAUGAAAGACAGCAAUCAAACUAACCAACGUGUCUGAUAUGUGUAUGUGUGCCAUCCGGUAGGUUCCGGACUACAAGGAGGAAAGAAGGUUUUGGCCAAGUCAUUUUUUGUGAGGGUUCUUUCGUGAUAGCUUGUCAUAUAUGCCAUGAGGUUUUUGGCCGUUAACGAGACCGACUCUAACUCAUUCCCGAAACUUAACCUUGAAAACCCACUCUUAAGUUUAACACCUACAAUAUCCUAGGUACUACUAUUAGGGUGAAAUCUGAACCAUCCAGAUAAUUCGAACUUCAAUAAUUUCUACACACAAUACAUAUGGACCCCAUCA